AGUGAACGCUGGCGGUAGGCCUAACACAUGCAAGUCGAACGGCAGCACAGUAAGAGCUUGCUCUUACGGGUGGCGAGUGGCGGACGGGUGAGGAAUACAUCGGAAUCUACUUUUUCGUGGGGAAUAACGUAGGGAAACUUACGCUAAUACCGCAUACGACCUACGGGUGAAAGCAGGGGAUCUUCGGACCUUGCGCGAUUGAAUGAGCCGAUGUCGGAUUAGCUAGUUGGCGGGGUAAAGGCCCACCAAGGCGACGAUCCGUAGCUGGUCUGAGAGGAUGAUCAGCCACACUGGAACUGACACGGUCCAGACUCCUACGGGAGGCAGCAGUGGGGAAUAUUGGACAAUGGGCGCAAGCCUGAUCCAGCCAUACCGCGUGGGUGAAGAAGGCCUUCGGGUUGUAAAGCCCUUUUGUUGGGAAAGAAAAGCAGCAGGUUAAUACCCCGCUGUUCUGACGGUACCCAAAGAAUAAGCACCGGCUAACUUCGUG
rnacentral:rRNA from 1 species